UGCGUAGGCGGCUUUUUAAGUCGGAUGUGAAAUUCCAGGGCUUAACCUUGGGGCUGCAUUUGAUACGUGUAGACUAGAGUGUGAGAGAGGGUUGUGGAAUUCCCAGUGUAGAGGUGAAAUUCGUAGAUAUUGGGAAGAACACCGGUGGCGAAGGCGGCAACCUGGCUCAUUACUGACGCUGAGGCGCGAAAGCGUGGGGAGCAAACAGGAUUAGAUACCCCUGUA
rnacentral:rRNA from 1 species